AGCCCCGUGGUGUAGUGGCCAAUCAUCCAAGCCUUUGGAGCUUGGGACCUCGGUUCGAAUCCGGGCGGGGCUA
rnacentral:tRNA from 1 species